GGCAGAGGCAGAAGACUUAGAAUGACCACACAGUGCUUUUCAAAUACAGAGAUUCCCGGGCCUCCUCCCAGACUCAGGGGUAUGAAGCCGGCAGGGACCGGGAUGUGUUCAUUCACCGUGCUGGAGGCUAGCAUAGUGCCUGAUGUGAACACACUCAUUCUAUGUGAGGAAGGAAUGACAGCAUCUCACCUUACUGAGGACAGAAGCCCAGGGAGAAACUGAGGAAGCAUGCCCAGGGGCAUUCAGCUAUAUAAGGUAACCGAUGGAGCGGUCUGACCCAGGGACCCAGGUGGAUAGUCACUACACCGCAACGUCUCAACUAAUAGGUAGAAUUGGAAACGUGAGGGCCGAUCCUAAGGCCCUCAACUGAUUUAAUAAAUACAUCGUCACAAGAAAUUU